GGAAGUGGGGUGUGAUGGUUGCACGCGGCGCUCAUAACGCUUGUAGACGGGGUUCAACUCCCUGCGCUUCUACCA
rnacentral:tRNA from 1 species